AACACGUAACAACAAUUGUCUGUAAAUGACAAACCUACAUAAUUUUUUAAAAGCACAGACAAUGUAUUGAUUCCAAAAAAGUCUAAACCCCUAAACCUAUUACCUGCAUGUUGAAUGUACAUUUGCAACAUUGUUCAAACAUUCUUGCAUGUUCUUUGUUUAUCUGAUCAACACGUCUGAACAGGAAUACAAAGUGAAGGCAUCACUCAGCAGACACAUUGUUGAGAUCAAGAAGGAAAUCUACUCAUCAAUUCAAACAACCAUUCAAAAGAAAAUGACACCUGGCUACAUAAAAGCUGCAGACGUGAGAGGAACAGGAGCCAUGCAGAGGAUGGAGAAAAUAAUAACAGAAACAAUUGAGCAGUUAAAAAAUCAAAUGUUCAAUGAAGCAAAAGUGAAAGUGACUGAUAUGUUCAAAACCUUGAAGCUGAAUAUAAUGAAGACCCUCGAAUCUGAGCUAAAACAUUCAGUGAAACUCUCGUUUUCACAUGCCGGACAAAUCAGCUGGUUGAAUGUCUCCGGAGAGAUUCAAGAGCUGGAGAGACUGUCAGAACAACUGUCUUCCUGAGUUUUCCUCAGGGUUUGCAAUGUUUGCACAAAAGACACGUCGAUCAGCUGCUUGAAGAUUUGUCUUUGGAGAAGACUGCUGAUAUUAUACUCAAAAAAUUUAAGUAUUACUACUUAAAAUAUAAGAUUACACCAAAAUGCAUUGCUAGCCCACACCAACACUUACAAUAAUGAUAAAUGCUGACCAAAAGUUAAUUACAUUUUGCUUGU